UGGGGAAUAUUGGACAAUGGGCGCAAGCCUGAUCCAGCCAUACCGCGUGGGUGAAGAAGGCCUUCGGGUUGUAAAGCCCUUUUGUUGGGAAAGAAAAGCAGUCGAUUAAUACUCGGUUGUUCUGACGGUACCCAAAGAAUAAGCACCGGCUAACUUCGUGCCAGCAGCCGCGGUAAUACGAAGGGUGCAAGCGUUACUCGGAAUUACUGGGCGUAAAGCGUGCGUAGGUGGUUGUUUAAGUCUGUUGUGAAAGCCCUGGGCUCAGCCUGGGAAUUGCAGUGGAUACUGGGCGACUAGAGUGUGGUAGAGGGUAGUGGAAUUCCCGGUGUAGCAGUGAAAUGCGUAGAGAUCGGGAGGAACAUCCAUGGCGAAGGCAGCUACCUGGACCAACACUGACACUGAGGCACGAAAGCGUGGGGAGCAAACAGGAUUAGAUACCCUGGUAGUCCACGCCCUAAACGAUGCGAACUGGAUGUUGGGUGCAAUUUGGCACGCAGUAUCGAAGCUAACGCGUUAAGUUCNCCGCCUGGGGAGUACGGUCGCAAGACUG
rnacentral:rRNA from 1 species